GACGAACGCUGGCGGCGUGCUUAACACAUGCAAGUCGAACGGAAAGGCCCUGCUUUUGUGGGGUGCUCGAGUGGCGAACGGGUGAGUAACACGUGAGUAACCUGCCCUUGACUUUGGGAUAACUUCAGGAAACUGGGGCUAAUACCGGAUAGGAGCUCCUGCUGCAUGGUGGGGGUUAGAAAGUUUCGGCGGUUGGGGAUGGACUCGCGGCUUAUCAGCUUGUUGGUGGGGUAGUGGCUUACCAAGGCUUUGACGGGUAGCCGGCCUGAGAGGGUGACCGGCCACAUUGGGACUGAGAUACGGCCCAGACUCCUACGGGAGGCAGCAGUGGGGAAUAUUGCACAAUGGGCGGAAGCCUGAUGCAGCAACGCCGCGUGCGGGAUGACGGCCUUCGGGUUGUAAACCGCUUUCGCCUGUGACGAAGCGUGAGUGACGGUAAUGGGCAAAGAAGCACCGGCUAACUACGUG
rnacentral:rRNA from 1 species